rnacentral:rRNA from 1 species
UACGAAGGGGGCUAGCGUUGUUCGGAAUUACUGGGCGUAAAGCGCAUGUAGGCGGAUCUAUAAGUCAGAGGUGAAAUCCCCGGGCUCAACCCUGGAAUUGCCUUUGAUACUGUGGAUCUGGAGUCUGGGAGAGGUGAGUGGAAUUCCGAGUGUAGAGGUGAAAUUCGUAGAUAUUCGGAGGAACACCAGUGGCGAAGGCGGCUCACUGGCCCGAGACUGACGCUGAGAUGCGAAAGCGUGGGGAGCAAACAGG